AGUUAGAGGAGGUAGUAAAGACAAAUAUCGAUACAGAACUCUUAUGAGGUACUGUAAUCGAAAUGAGUGCAUUAUAAAUCCUACAACGAGGAUCUAUUGGAGGGCAAGUCUGGUGCCAGCAGCCGCGGUAACUCCAGCUCCAAUAGCAUAUAUUAAAAUUGCUGCAGUUAAAAAGCUCGUAGUUGGAUCUGGGUUCUGGUCUGGGAUACCGUGGAUAGUUAUAAUGUUAUGCAUUUAGCUGUUCAUGGUUUAUCCAGGCCGAAUCUUCCAGCUGUGUCUGUGUGGUACUUCGGUACUGCAUAGAUAGUGCAGUUGUCUGCGCUUGCCUCACGGCUUGCCAGCUUCGGCACUAUGCACUGUUAUGCCUUUAACUGGGUGUACAGUGUGGACAGCACGUUUACUUUGAACAAAUUUGAGUGCUCAAAGCAGGCCUAAGUU
rnacentral:rRNA from 1 species